rnacentral:rRNA from 1 species
UGGGGAAUAUUGCACAAUGGGCGAAAGCCUGAUGUAGCAACGCCGCGUGAGUGAUGAAGGCCUUCGGGUUGUAAAGCUCUGUCUUUUGGGACGAUAAUGACGGUACCAAAGGAGGAAGCCACGGCUAACUACGUGCCAGCAGCCGCGGUAAUACGUAGGUGGCAAGCGUUGUCCGGAUUUACUGGGCGUAAAGGAUGCGUAGGCGGAUUUUUAAGUGAGAUGUGAAAUACCCGGGCUUAACUUGGGUGCUGCAUUUCAAACUGGGAAUCUAGAGUGCGGGAGAGGAGAAUGGAAUUCCUAGUGUAGCGGUGAAAUGCGUAGAGAUUAGGAAGAACACCAGUGGCGAAGGCGACUCUCUGGACCGUAACUGACGCUGAGGCAUGAAAGCGUGGGUAGCAAACAGGAUUAGAUACCCUGGUAGUCCACGCCGUAAACGAUGAGUACUAGGUGUAGGAGGUAUCGACCCCUUCUGUGCCGCAGUUAACACAAUAAGUACUCCGCCUGGGAAGUACGAUCGCAAGAUUAAAACUCAAAGGAAUUGACGGGGUCAUAGCUGUUUUCCU